GACGUAGGGCGCGAGCGUUGUCCGGAUUUAUUGGGCGUAAAGAGCUCGUAGGCGGCUUGUCGCGUCGUUCGUGAAAACCCGGGGCUCAACUCCGGGCGUUGCGGGCGAUACGGGCAGGCUAGAGUUCGGUAGGGGAGACUGGAAUUCCUGGUGUAGCGGUGAAAUGCGCAGAUAUCAGGAGGAACACCGGUGGCGAAGGCGGGUCUCUGGGCCGAUACUGACGCUGAGGAGCGAAAGCGUGGGGAGCGAACAGG
rnacentral:rRNA from 1 species